rnacentral:misc_RNA from 1 species
GAUGAAGAACGUAGCGAAAUGCGAUACUUGGUGUGAAUUGCAGAAUCCCGUGAACCAUCGAGUCUUUGAACGCAAGUUGCGCCCGAAGCCAUUAGGCCGAGGGCACGCCUGCCUGGGUGUCGCACAUCGUUGCCCCAAUGCCUCAGCCCUGUUGCAAGGCAUGGCAAAGGGGCGAAUGUUGGCUUCCCGCGAGCGAUGCCCUCACGGUUGGCUGAAAAUCGAGUCCGUGGUGGAGUGUGCCGCGAUGGAUGGUGGUUGAGUAAAAGCUCGAGACCAAUCAUGGGUAACUCCACCAGAAUUGGGCUCGGUGACCCACAUGCGUCCCUUGGAUGCUCCCUAAGGAGGCCUCAGGUCAGGCGGGGCUACCCGCUGAGUUUAAGCAUAUCAAUAAGCGGAGGA